rnacentral:rRNA from 1 species
GCUCCUCUGACGUUAGCGGCGGACGGGUGAGUAACACGUGGAUAACCUACCUAUAAGACUGGGAUAACUUCGGGAAACCGGAGCUAAUACCGGAUAAUAUAUUGAACCGCAUGGUUCAAUAGUGAAAGACGGUUUUGCUGUCACUUAUAGAUGGAUCCGCGCCGCAUUAGCUAGUUGGUAAGGUAACGGCUUACCAAGGCAACGAUGCGUAGCCGACCUGAGAGGGUGAUCGGCCACACUGGAACUGAGACACGGUCCAGACUCCUACGGGAGGCAGCAGUAGGGAAUCUUCCGCAAUGGGCGAAAGCCUGACGGAGCAACGCCGCGUGAGUGAUGAAGGUCUUCGGAUCGUAAAACUCUGUUAUUAGGGAAGAACAAAUGUGUAAGUAACUAUGCACGUCUUGACGGUACCUAAUCAGAAAGCCACGGCUAACUACGUGCCAGCAGCCGCGGUAAUACGUAGGUGGCAAGCGUUAUCCGGAAUUAUUGGGCGUAAAGCGCGCGUAGGCGGUUUUUUAAGUCUGAUGUGAAAGCCCACGGCUCAACCGUGGAGGGUCAUUGGAAACUGGAAAACUUGAGUGCAGAAGAGGAAAGUGGAAUUCCAUGUGUAGCGGUGAAAUGCGCAGAGAUAUGGAGGAACACCAGUGGCGAAGGCGACUUUCUGGUCUGUAACUGACGCUGAUGUGCGAAAGCGUGGGGAUCAAACAGGAUUAGAUACCCUGGUAGUCCACGCCGUAAACGAUGAGUGCUAAGUGUUAGGGGGUUUCCGCCCCUUAGUGCUGCAGCUAACGCAUUAAGCACUCCGCCUGGGGAGUACGACCGCAAG